ACAGGGUGACAGGUGGUGCAUGGUUGUCGUCAGCUCGUGUCGUGAGAUGUUGGGUUAAAGUCCCCGGCAACCGAGCGCAACCCUCGCCUCUAGUUGCCAGCAUUCGGUUGGGCACUCUAGAGGGACUGCCGGCGACAAGUCGGAGGAAGUGGGGAUGACGUCAAAUCAUCAUGCCCCUUACUGACCUGGGCUACACACGUGCUACAAUGGGCGGUACAAAGGGCUGCGAACCCGCGAGGGGGAGCGAAUCCCAAAAAGCCGCUCUCAGUUCGGAUUGCAGGCUGCAACUCGCCUGCAUGAAGCCGGAAUCGCUAGUAAUCGCGGAUCAGCAUGCCGCGGUGAAUACGUUCCCGGGCCUU
rnacentral:rRNA from 1 species